UACGUAGGGGGCAAGCGUUGUCCGGAAUCAUUGGGCGUAAAGAGCGCGUAGGCGGCCCAGUAAGUCCGCUCUGAAAGUCAGAGGCUCAACCUCUGAAUGCGGGUGGAUACUGCUGGGCUAGAGUCCGGAAGAGGCGAGUGGAAUUCCUGGUGUAGCGGUGAAAUGCGCAGAUAUCAGGAGGAACACCGAUGGCGAAGGCAGGUCUCUGGGCCGCAACUGACGCUGAGGAGCGAAAGCAUGGGGAGCGAACAGG
rnacentral:rRNA from 1 species